AUCAGAAUUUGACAUUAUCGAUCGAUUUGGGCGGAUAUGCAAAAAUAUUUCUCAUUAUCACAGUGGAUCCUCAAAAAAAAAAGAGUUUGUACUGAAUAAAGUAUAUACUUCGAUUUUCGUGUGCUAGAACUUUGGCUCAUAAACACAAAAGUACU